AGAGUUUGAUCAUGGCUCAGGACGAACGCUGGCGGCGCGCUUAAUACAUGCAAGUCGAGCGAGAACCAGGGCUUCGGCCCUGGGGACAGCGGCGAACGGGUGAGUAACACGUGAGUAAUCAACCCCCGACACCGGGAUAGCCCAGGGAAACUUGGAUUAAUACCGGAUGCUCCGUCUGGCUUUAGGGCCGGCCGGAAAAGGGUAGCUUCGGCCUCCGGUCGGGGACGAGCCCGCGGCGGAUUAGCUUGUUGGUGAGGUAAAGGCUCACCAAGGCGACGAUCCGUAGCUGGUCUGAGAGGACGAUCAGCCACACUGGGACUGAGACACGGCCCAGACUCCUACGGGAGGCAGCAGUAGGGAAUCUUGCGCAAUGGGCGAAAGCCUGACGCAGCGACGCCGCGUGAGGGAAGAAGGCCUUCGGGUUGUAAACCUCUUUCAGGAGGGACGAAGCCACUCGGGUUAAUAGCCUAGAGGGUGACGGUACCUCCAGAAGAAGCCCCGGCUAACUACGUGCCAGCAGCCGCGGUAAUACGUAGGGGGCAAGCGUUGUCCGGAUUUAUUGGGCGUAAAGAGCGUGUAGGCGGCCAAGCAGGUCCGCUGUGAAAACUCGAGGCUCAACCUCGAGAGGUCGGUGGAAACCGUUUGGCUAGAGUCCGGAAGAGGAGAGUGGAAUUCCCGGUGUAGCGGUGAAAUGCGCAGAUAUCGGGAAGAACACCCGUGGCGAAGGCGGCUCUCUGGGACGGUACUGACGCUGAGACGCGAAAGCGUGGGGAGCGAACAGGAUUAGAUACCCCGGUAGUCC
rnacentral:rRNA from 1 species